AGCGAACGCUGGCGGCAGGCCUAACACAUGCAAGUCGAACGAAGCCUUCGGGCUUAGUGGCGGACGGGUGAGUAACACGUGGGAACGUACCUUUUGGUUCGGAACAACUCAGGGAAACUUGAGCUAAUACCGGAUGAGCCCUUAGGGGGAAAGAUUUAUCGCCGAAAGAGCGGCCCGCGUUAGAUUAGCUAGUUGGUGAGGUAAAGGCUCACCAAGGCUACGAUCUAUAGCUGGUCUGAGAGGAUGAUCAGCCACACUGGGACUGAGACACGGCCCAGACUCCUACGGGAGGCAGCAGUGGGGAAUCUUGCGCAAUGGGCGAAAGCCUGACGCAGCCAUGCCGCGUGAAUGAUGAAGGUCUUAGGAUUGUAAAAUUCUUUUACCAGGGACGAUAAUGACGGUACCUGGAGAAAAAGCCCCGGCUAACUUCGAACCAGCAGCCGCAGUAAGAC
rnacentral:rRNA from 1 species